UUGAUUCUUGAGAAGAUUUGUCCCUAGUACGAGAGGACCGGGAUGAACUGACCUCUGGUGUGUCUGCUGUCCUGCCAAGGGCACCGCAGAGUAGCUAAGUCGGGAAUGGAUAAAUGCUGAAAGCAUCUAAGCAUGAAGCCAACUUCAAGAUUAGGAAUCGUUUGAGGCCCGUAAGAGAUUAUUACGUGAUAGGCACUAGGUGUAAGCACAGUAAUGUGUUGAGCCGAGGUGUACUAAUUAGCCGA
rnacentral:ncRNA from 1 species